rnacentral:rRNA from 1 species
AGGGAAACUUCUGAUAAUACUGGAUAAGUUAGUAUAUCGCAUGAUAUGCAAAUGAAAGCUACGGCACUAAAGGAGAGCUUUGCGUCCUAUUAGCUAGUUGGUAAGGUAAGAGCUUACCAAGGCGAUGAUAGGUAGCCGGCCUGAGAGGGUGGACGGCCACAAGGGGACCUGAGAUAGGCCCUUACUCCUACGGGAGGCAGCAGCG